rnacentral:tRNA from 1 species
AUCGAAAUAGCUCAGUUGAGAGAGCGUUUGACUAUAGAUCGAAAGUUCCUGGUUCGAUCCCGGGUUACGACU